rnacentral:rRNA from 1 species
GUGAGAAAUAUUGCGCAAUGGAGGCAACUCUGACGCAGCCAUGCCGCGUGCAGGAAGAAGGCGCUACGCGUUGUAAACUGCUUUUAACCGGGAAGAAACCCCAGGACGUGUCCUGGGUUGACGGUACCGGAGGAAUAAGCACCGGCUAACUUCGUGCCAGCAGCCGCGGUAAUACGAAGGGUGCAAGCGUUAUCCGGAUUCAUUGGGUUUAAAGGGUGCGUAGGCGGAGCGUUAAGUCAGUGGUGAAAUCCUGCAGCUUAACUGUAGACUUGCCAUUGAUACUGGCGCUCUUGAGUGCGCUUGAAGUGGGCGGAAUGUGCCGUGUAGCGGUGAAAUGCUUAGAUAUGGCACAGAACACCAAUUGCGAAGGCAGCUCACUAAGGCGAUACUGACGCUGAGGCACGAAAGCGUGGGGAUCGAACAGGAUUAGAUACCCUGGUAGUCC